UACGUAGGGUGCGAGCGUUGUCCGGAAUUACUGGGCGUAAAGCGUGCGUAGACGGUUAUGUAAGUCAGAUGUGAAAGCCCAGGGCUCAACCUUGGAAUUGCAUUUGAGACUGCAUAGCUAGGGUGCGGAAGAGGGAAGCGGAAUUUCCGGUGUAGCGGUGAAAUGCGUAGAUAUCGGAAGGAACACCAGUGGCGAAAGCGGCUUCCUGGUCCAGCACCGACGUUCAGGCACGAAAGCGUGGGGAGCAAACAGG
rnacentral:rRNA from 1 species